rnacentral:tRNA from 1 species
GGAUGUAGCUAAGUGGCAGAAUAUGUGCAUAGCAUGCACAAGACCCUUGGUUCAAUCCCUAGUUCAUGCA